UACGUAGGGUGCAAGCGUUGUCCGGAAUCAUUGGGCGUAAAGCGCGUGUAGGCGGCUCGGUAAGUCUGCUGUGAAAGUCCAGGGCUCAACCCUGGGAUGCCGGUGGAUACUGUCGAGCUCGAGUCCGGAAGAGGCGAGUGGAAUUCCUGGUGUAGCGGUGAAAUGCGCAGAUAUCAGGAGGAACACCAAUGGCGAAGGCAGCUCGCUGGGACGUGACUGACGCUGAGACGCGAAAGCGUGGGGAGCAAACAGGG
rnacentral:rRNA from 1 species